rnacentral:rRNA from 1 species
UACGUAGGGUGCAAGCGUUAAUCGGAAUUACUGGGCGUAAAGCGUGCGCAGGCGGUUGGGCAAGACAGAUGUGAAAUCCCCGGGCUCAACCUGGGAAUGGCAUUUGUGACUGUCCGGCUAGAGUGUGUCAGAGGGGGGUAGAAUUCCACGUGUAGCAGUGAAAUGCGUAGAGAUGUGGAGGAACACCAAUAGCGAAGGCAGCUCGCUGGGACGGUACUGACGCUAAGGCGCGAAAGCGUGGGGAGCGAACAGG